rnacentral:lncRNA from 1 species
AAGAUUCUCCGCCGCUAGUAAACAAAUUUAGAGCACUCAAAAGUACAGAAAAAUUGGAAUCUGAGUUUCAACGCCGCUCAUCACAUUUUUAAACCCUUGAACGCAUGUGGUUUCAUAUAGGUAUGUGAUUUUCCCUUCUUUAUGGCAUUGUGAUUUCGAGCCUUUGUAAUGAAGUUCGUGGAAGAUUAUAUAACUCUUUUGGUUCCCAAGGAUAUUGGUGGUGAUUAGGCGAGCCCGCUUUCUUCACUCCGGAAAUGCGAGAGAAAGUGAGAGACAAAGCAUGUUCUCUUUUUGCGAGAUCUCCACUAUGUAAAUCAGUAAGAUUGUUUCUCAUUUUUCUUAUGGAUAUAACUUUAUUUUUUCCACUAUUAUGUUUUACAAGCAAUCCACUUUAGAUAUUUAUUUUUCAUUGAACUAUAAUGUUUAUG